AACUUUGCACAGUGGCAGUAUCGUAGCCAAUGAGGUUUAUCUGAGGUACGAUUAUUGCUAAUAGAAAAAAAAAUAUCAAACCCAAAUGUGGGGCAGUCUAUAAAACAGCCAACAAUAAUCCUGAAAACUGUCAAGGUUAUAAAAAG